CCUGCACUAUUUGACGUUACCUACAGAAGAAGCACCGGCUAACUCCGUGCCAGCAGCCGCGGUAAUACGGAGGGUGCGAGCGUUAAUCGGAAUUACUGGGCGUAAAGCGCAUGCAGGCGGCCUGUUAAGUCAGAUGUGAAAGCCCGGGGCGUUAACCUCGGAAUUGCAUUUGAAACUGGCAGGCUAGAGUCUUGUAGAGGGGGGGUAGGAAGUUUCUAGGUGUAGCGGUGAAAUAGCGUAGAGAUCUGAAGGAAUACCAGUGGCGAAGGCGGCCCCCCUGGACAAAGACUGACGCUCAGAUGCGAAAGCGUGGGGAGCAAACAGGAUUAGAUACCCCUGGUAG
rnacentral:rRNA from 1 species